GCCGAAGUGGUGGAAUUGGCAGACACGCUAGGUUCAGGGUCUAGUGGGAGUGCUCCCGUGGGGGUUCGAGUCCCCCCUUCGGCACCA
rnacentral:tRNA from 1 species